rnacentral:rRNA from 1 species
GACGUAGGGCGCGAGCGUUGUCCGGAUUUAUUGGGCGUAAAGAGCGUGUAGGCGGCUGGGUAGGUCCGUUGUGAAAACUCGAGGCUCAACCUCGAGACGCCGAUGGAAACCCUCCAGCUAGAGUCCGGAAGAGGAGAGUGGAAUUCCUGGUGUAGCGGUGAAAUGCGCAGAUAUCAGGAAGAACACCCGUGGCUAAGGCGGCUCUCUAGUACGGUACUGACGCUGAGACGCGAAAGCGUGGGGAGCGAACAGG